UUAUAGAGUGGCUUGAUUUUGAACCUCUA
rnacentral:piRNA from 1 species